GGAGAAUGGGGGAAACCCUGAUCCAGCCAUCCCGCGUGUGCGAUGAAGGCCUUCGGGUUGUAAAGCACUUUUGGCAGGAAAGAAACGUCAUGGGCUAAUACCCCGUGAAACUGACGGUACCUGCAGAAUAAGCACCGGCUAACUACGUGCCAGCAGCCG
rnacentral:rRNA from 1 species